GAAACACUGCUAUGGAGCAGGACUUGCUUCAGUGGGGCUUUGGUGCUCACUGAGUCUGCCCCUUGAGUGUGCCACU
rfam:Myotis lucifugus cont2.7017, whole genome shotgun sequence.